rnacentral:lncRNA from 1 species
UGAAGAUGAGCACUCAAGAGCAACGCUAGGUAAGUAACCAAGCAAAGGUUGCAGGCAAUCAGUUCUUGAUCGGACGUUUAAUUUCAGGUUCCGACUGAUUGCUUCCCUUCUCCUUGUUCUGCAGGCAAGAGCAAGGGCAAGGGAAAUGAUGGGGGGAAAGCAUGAUAUGAGAUACCUUUGCUUUCGACCCUAAUGAUAUGAGAUACUUUUGCUUUUGAAGAAGUAGCGGACAACCAGCACAUGCAUUUGUUGCGCCUGUCUCCACAUGCUUCGAUGCAUCAUCU